ACGGGGGCCCGCACAAGCGGUGGAGCAUGUGGUUUAAUUCGACGCUACGCGAAGAACCUUACCUGGGUUUGACAUGUUAGUAGUAAAAACCUGAAAAGGGGCUGACCCUGAGGUAACUCAGGGAGCUAACACAGGUGCUGCAUGGCUGUCGUCAGCUCGUGCCGUGAGGUGUUGGGUUAAGUCCCGCAACGAGCGCAACCCUUAUCCUCUGUUGGUCGUAAACGAUCUCUCUGGGGAAACUGCCGGCGAUGAGCUGGAGGAAGGUGGGGAUGACGUCAAGUCAGCAUGGCCCUUAUGUCCAGGGCGACACACGUGCUACAAUGGCUGCUACAGAGGGAUGCAAUACCGUGAGGUGGAGCCAAUCCUUAAAAGCAGUCUCAGUGGGGAUCGGAGUCUGCAAUUCGACUCCGUGAACGCGGAAUCGCUAGUAAUCAUGGAUCAGCCAUGCCAUGGUGCAUACGUUCCCGGGCCUUGUACACACCGCCCGUCACACCACGAAAGCCUGUUGUACCCGAAGC
rnacentral:rRNA from 1 species